rnacentral:rRNA from 1 species
CCUACGGGUGGCAGCAGUGAGGAAUAUUGGUCAAUGGGCGCGAGCCUGAACCAGCCAAGUAGCGUGAAGGAUGACUGCCCUACGGGUUGUAAACUUCUUUUAUAAAGGAAUAAAGUGAUGCACGUGUGCCUUUUUGUAUGUACUUUAUGAAUAAGGAUCGGCUAACUCCGUUCCAGCCGCCGCGGUAAUACGGAGGAUCCGAGCGUUAUCCGGAUUUAUUGGGUUUAAAGGGAGCGUAGAUGGGAAGUUAAGUCAGUUGUGAAAGUUUGGGGCUUAACCGUAAAAGUGCAGUUGAUACUGGCGGUCUUGAGUGCAGUAGAGGUAGGCGGAAUUCGUGGUGUAGCGGUGAAAUGCUUAGAUAUCACGAAGAACUCCGAUUGCGAAGGCAGCUUACU